GAUGAACGCUGGCGGCGUGCCUAAUACAUGCAAGUCGAGCGAACAGACGAGGAGCUUGCUCCUCUGACGUUAGCGGCGGACGGGUGAGUAACACGUGGAUAACCUACCUAUAAGACUGGGAUAACUUCGGGAAACCGGAGCUAAUACCGGAUAAUAUAUUGAACCGCAUGGUUCAAUAGUGAAAGACGGUUUUGCUGUCACUUAUAGAUGUAUCCGCGCCGCAUUAGCUAGUUGGUAAGGUAACGGCUUACCAAGGCAACGAUGCGUAGCCGACCUAAGAGGGUGAUCGGCCACACUGGAACUGAGACACGGUCCAGACUCCUACGGGAGGCAGCAGUAGGGAAUCUUCCGCAAUGGGCGAAAGCCUGACGGAGCAACGCCGCGUGAGUGAUGAAGGUCUUCGGAUCGUAAAACUCUGUUAUUAGGGAAGAACAAAUGUGUAAGUAACUAUGCACGUCUUGACGGUACCUAAUCAGAAAGCCACGGCUAACUACGUG
rnacentral:rRNA from 1 species